UAUAAUAAUGAUAAGACAUACAAAAAGUUGGAGACGUCAAGGAGGAAUUCUACACUAUCACACUUGCACCACGUUAUCAAUAACAAGCCAAUCACAUUCCUUCUUUUCAAACAAAAGUACAAUAAAAAUACUUUUUUACAAUCAUAAUGGGACAUAUAUUCUUAAAAGGAUUAAUUUGAUUGGUUUGUUACGCCACGUCACUAAUAUACCCGUUGCAUUCUAGAAUUUUUCGACGUCAAGACCCUGACGCUUUUGAAA
rnacentral:lncRNA from 1 species